UGUGAGCUCGAUGAGUAGGGCGGGACACGUGGUAUCCUGUCUGAAUAUGGGGGGACCAUCCUCCAAGGCUAAAUACUCCUGACUGACCGAUAGUGAACCAGUACCGUGAGGGAAAGGCGAAAAGAACCCCGGCGAGGGGAGUGAAAAAGAACCUGAAACCGUGUACGUACAAGCAGUGGGAGCCUCUUAAUGGGGUGACUGCGUACCUUUUGUAUAAUGGGUCAGCGACUUAUAUUCUGUAGCAAGGUUAACCGAAUAGGGGAGCCGAAGGGAAACCGAGUCUUAACUGGGCGUUAAGUUGCAGGGUAUAGACCCGAAACCCGGUGAUCUAGCCAUGGGCAGGUUGAAGGUUGGGUAACACUAACUGGAGGACCGAACCGACUAAUGUUGAAAAAUUAGCGGAUGACUUGUGGCUGGGGGUGAAAGGCCAAUCAAACCGGGAGAUAGCUGGUUCUCCCCGAAAGCUAUUUAGGUAGCGCCUCGUGAAUUCAUCUCCGGGGGUAGAGCACUGUUUCGGCAAGGGGGUCAUCCCGACUUACCAACCCGAUGCAAACUGCGAAUACCGGAGAAUGUUAUCACGGGAGACACACGGCGGGUGCUAACGUCCGUCGUGAAGAGGGAAACAACCCAGACCGCCAGCUAAGGUCCCAAAGUCAUGGUUAAGUGGGAAACGAUGUGGGAAGGCCCAGACAGCCAGGAUGUUGGCUUAGAAGCAGCCAUCAUUUAAAGAAAGCGUAAUAGCUCACUGGUCGAGUCGGCCUGCGCGGAAGAUGUAACGGGGCUAAACCAUGCACCGAAGCUGCGGCAGCGACACUAUGUGUUGUUGGGUAGGGGAGCGUUCUGUAAGCCUGUGAAGGUGUGCUGUGAGGCAUGCUGGAGGUAUCAGAAGUGCGAAUGCUGACAUAAGUAACGAUAAAGCGGGUGAAAAGCCCGCUCGCCGGAAGACCAAGGGUUCCUGUCCAACGUUAAUCGGGGCAGGGUGAGUCGACCCCUAAGGCGAGGCCGAAAGGCGUAGUCGAUGGGAAACAGGUUAAUAUUCCUGUACUUGGUGUUACUGCGAAGGGGGGACGGAGAAGGCUAUGUUGGCCGGGCGACGGUUGUCCCGGUUUAAGCGUGUAGGCUGGUUUUCCAGGCAAAUCCGGAAAACCAAGGCUGAGGCGUGAUGACGAGGCACUACGGUGCUGAAGUGACAAAUGCCCUGCUUCCAGGAAAAGCCUCUAAGCAUCAGGUAACAUCAAAUCGUACCCCAAACCGACACAGGUGGUCAGGUAGAGAAUACCAAGGCGCUUGAGAGAACUCGGGUGAAGGAACUAGGCAAAAUGGUGCCGUAACUUCGGGAGAAGGCACGCUGAUAUGUAGGUGAAGCGACUUGCUCGUGGAGCUGAAAUCAGUCGAAGAUACCAGCUGGCUGCAACUGUUUAUUAAAAACACAGCACUGUGCAAACACGAAAGUGGACGUAUACGGUGUGACGCCUGCCCGGUGCCGGAAGGUUAAUUGAUGGGGUUAGCGGUAACGCGAAGCUCUUGAUCGAAGCCCCGGUAAACGGCGGCCGUAACUAUAACGGUCCUAAGGUAGCGAAAUUCCUUGUCGGGUAAGUUCCGACCUGCACGAAUGGCGUAAUGAUGGCCAGGCUGUCUCCACCCGAGACUCAGUGAAAUUGAACUCGCUGUGAAGAUGCAGUGUACCCGCGGCAAGACGGAAAGACCCCGUGAACCUUUACUAUAGCUUGACACUGAACAUUGAGCCUUGAUGUGUAGGAUAGGUGGGAGGCUUUGAAGUGUGGACGCCAGUCUGCAUGGAGCCGACCUUGAAAUACCACCCUUUAAUGUUUGAUGUUCUAACGUUGGCCCCUGAUCGGGGUUGCGGACAGUGUCUGGUGGGUAGUUUGACUGGGGCGGUCUCCUCCUAAAGAGUAACGGAGGAGCACGAAGGUUGGCUAAUCCUGGUCGGACAUCAGGAGGUUAGUGCAAUGGCAUAAGCCAGCUUGACUGCGAGCGUGACGGCGCGAGCAGGUGCGAAAGCAGGUCAUAGUGAUCCGGUGGUUCUGAAUGGAAGGGCCAUCGCUCAACGGAUAAAAGGUACUCCGGGGAUAACAGGCUGAUACCGCCCAAGAGUUCAUAUCGACGGCGGUGUUUGGCACCUCGAUGUCGGCUCAUCACAUCCUGGGGCUGAAGUAGGUCCCAAGGGUAUGGCUGUUCGCCAUUUAAAGUGGUACGCGAGCUGGGUUUAGAACGUCGUGAGACAGUUCGGUCCCUAUCUGCCGUGGGCGCUGGAGAACUGAGGGGGGCUGCUCCUAGUACGAGAGGACCGGAGUGGACGCAUCACUGGUGUUCGGGUUGUCAUGCCAAUGGCACUGCCCGGUAGCUAAAUGCGGAAGAGAUAAGUGCUGAAAGCAUCUAAGCACGAAACUUGCCCCGAGAUGAGUUCUCCCUGACUCCUUGAGGGUCCUGAAGGAACGUUGAAGACGACGACGUUGAUAGGCCGGGUGUGUAAGCGCAGCGAUGCGUUGAGCUAACCGGUACUAAUGAACCGUGAGGCUUAACCUU
rnacentral:rRNA from 1 species